rnacentral:rRNA from 1 species
UACAGAGGUCUCAAGCGUUGUUCGGAUUCAUUGGGCGUAAAGGGUGCGUAGGCGGCGCGGUAAGUCGGGUGUGAAAUCUCGGAGCUUAACUCCGAAACUGCAUUCGAUACUGCCGUGCUUGAGGACUGGAGAGGAGACUGGAAUUUACGGUGUAGCGGUGAAAUGCGUAGAUAUCGUAAGGAACAUCAGUGGCGAAAGCGGCUUCCUGGACCAGAACUGACGAUCAGGCACGAAAGCUAGGGGAGCAAACAGG